rnacentral:rRNA from 1 species
CCGCUUCGGGAGGGCCUCGCGGCCUAUCAGCUUGUUGGUGGGGUAACGGCCCACCAAGGCAGCGACGGGUAGCUGGUCUGAGAGGACGAUCAGCCACACUGGGACUGAGACACGGCCCAG